UACGUAGGGAGCGAGCGUUGUCCGGAAUUACUGGGCGUAAAGGGCGCGUAGGCGGGAUCUUAAGUUAGGUGUGAAAACUCCGGGCUCAACCUGGAGACUGCACUUAAAACUGGGAUUCUUGAGGGCAGGAGAGGAAAGUGGAAUUCCUAGUGUAGCGGUGAAAUGCGUAGAUAUUAGGAGGAACACCAGUGGCGAAGGCGACUUUCUGGACUGUACCUGACGCUGAGGCGCGAAAGCGUGGGGAGCGAACGGG
rnacentral:rRNA from 1 species